rnacentral:lncRNA from 1 species
ACCUAAGCCACAGGUGCAGCAACGCUGAACUCUUGACCCAUCAUGCUGGGCUGGGAAUGGAACCUGCGAUACAGUCCUCCCAAGAUGCUGCCAAUUCUGCUGAACCACAGCAGGGAACUCCCUGUCUUGGUAUUUUCUAAUCUAAGAACACAAGUUUCCAUACAGGGACAUACCCAUUCAAGAUGGUGGGUGCUACCUUCGUGCCUAUAAAUUGUGACUUUUCCUUGUUCUCUGCUUCUUAAGUUGUUUUGGUGAUUAUUUGAGCUAUGUUUUCUUGUUUCCACUAAAGAGAAAGCAAUGUCGAGUAUCUUACUCACGUGAGAAUGUGACUCAGUAGAACAAGGUGGUGGUGGUUCUGUUCUGCGGCUGCGGCUCCAUUCUCUGGGUACCAUGGACAGGGACAGGACCCAGCUGAUGGUGAUUUUACUCAGGCUCCUAUCUAAAGGUUGGGAGAUGAAUAACUUAGUGAAAAAAAGGUAUCAGCAGAGGCAGUGUAUGGCAUGGCAACUAGAAAGCAGAACAUAUGGUAGGUUCAGCAAGAAAUUGCUUGUUUGUCAUUGAUUAUUCUUUUCUCAGCGCAACAGCAAAUUUCCUGGUGUGUGUUAUGACAGAAUAAACCUGAACACUCAAUGAAUGGAGACAUUUACAAAUGAUGUUCUGGCUGGGUUCGAAUGCUAUUUAUUAGCCUUUGUCUCAGCCUUUUGAACAGCAUUCCAUGUGCUUGGGCCACAGAACCCUGGCAUCUCAUUCAUCUGGAGGCCAGGGUGACAGUGGGUGGAAAAGCAUGGUGCAUCACAACGCAUGCAAAAUAAAUAGCUGAGUGCAGAGAGAAAGGACAGGAAUGAUGCUGACUAUGGAAGAAAUUUCUCAUAAAAACACAAUAUUCAGACUACAACGAAGAAGCUAGUCACCAGAGUAGGCUCAUAAACCAAAACAUAUGUAAAUGUGGAGUCAUUUGCUUUGAGUUGUAAGAUAUUUCUCUACCUAGGAGGGUAAAUGCCUUUCUUCUCUGCUCACCAUUUAACAUACUAUGUAUUUUUCCUAUUUAUCUUGGGAGUUUUCCAUCUCUCCCAGAAAGACUUUAUCCUAGAAUGUUAACCAGCAUAUAGAAGGCACUCAAUAAAUGUUCAUGAAAUGAGUAAAUAAAUGAGUGAGUGAAUGAACAGAGGAUGUUCUGUUUCUAUAGAAAAACAGGGAUUCCCUGUUUUCAGUGCUGUUUAUGAAGAGCGCAUAUCCUCAUGUAACACUUAGUUAAAGGCAGGUGUUAUCCAAGAGGGAAAAUUUUAAAAAAGGGGGCAUCCUUCUUCUCUCUCUCUGAGCAAAGAUGGGCUGCAGCUCCCCAAUGUUUUGGAGCAGCAACAGGGGCACAUGCUGCUCUCAGGACUGUGUUCCACCUGUUGUGAUGGAGAUAUUGCCAGCCCCAGAUGGAGUGUGGUCAGUUCCAGGAUGGAGGCUAACCCCAGUUGCUUCUAAGGGAUGGGUCUCACCAGUUCCCUGCUUGACAGGUUAUGAUGGAUUCUCACUCCCUCGGAUUGUGAUGAAGCUUGAUUCAUCAGCCUCAUCACACUAGAACUUCCCAGCAACGACAAGCCACUUUUUUCACUAGUAGAUGAUCAUCCUUUCUGAUGGACAGUAAUCAUUUGAUGUUAUCAUGCCACCUAAAUGAAUGACCUUAGUGCCCCCUGAAAUUCCCUCUCUCAACCCCUCAGAGUUGGAAAACCCAUUUGCACCAGCAACUUGCAGAAAGUGCUCAAGAGCAGAUCAACACAUGGACUGGAGACAGUGGGCUCUUCAUAAGGCUCUGCAAUGCUUCUGGUGGGUUUGAGGAUUAUUCCAGCAGGAGUGUGAUGGACGAGAUGCUUGAGCCCUGGAGUCAAUCUCAUUACCUCAUUCUCACUAGGCAAGUCUUUCACUUGCAUUGAUAAGAAAAGUGGGUCUCUAAAAUGCCCUCAUCUUUGAUGAGGAAGACACAAAUCCAUCACUCCUGGAAGAGCCUGACAUUGUGGUGUGCAAGUAUUGUCUGAUUCCUGUGGAGAAAUGCUGCAUUUGCCUUCAGAGGAGACUUGAGGGAUAAUGAAAGCCCUUAUCACUUACAAAUAAAACCCCAAGUCCCUUCCAAAGCACUUGCAGCCUCUAUUUUUAGCCACUUCUUUGUGAAAAGGCAGCAGUACCCAAGACCAGCUGUAAUCAUGACACCUGGAGGGAAGGCUACUCCCACUGGAAUAUGUCAGUCACACCUUUCAGGUGAUUUAGCUGAGAAGCCUAAUGUUCAAAAUCACCCAAGUUCUUUGUCUGGAUUCCAUCCUGCUUUGGAUAUGAAAGUGCAUAACCUAGAAAACUGGGCUCAAAAAGAGGUUAACUUAACAGUAGAAAAAAGACCUUGGGAGUCCCCGGGUCUCUGGUGGGAAGUGGUGAUAGUAACAAAGUUCUACUAGUGAAAAUAACUUGUUAAUACAGUAUUUAGCAUCUACAAGAUUAUUUUACACAAACUCUAUUUUGGUUCUUUGACAGUAAUGCCAGGUGGACAGUCGAGAUGUUACUUAUUACCCCCCCUUCUACAGACAAGGAAACUGCCACUCAAGGAGGUUAGACUGAUUUGACUCCAUGGAAGGGGGUGCUGAGUGUGUAUUUUUCUAGCUGGAAGAUGCUCCAUGCAGGAGGUUUUAAUUUUCUUGGAAUCUUCUUCAUUCAUCAGGCGUAGUAUCUCACUUUGCUUACAGUUGGUGUUUGAAAAUUCAUUUUUCUAUACAUUUAAAUGUGUUCCAGAAUAUUAAUCCCUUUGAAACAUGGUAAAAUAGCCUGUUCCUCAGUAGCUAAGACUGUAAAGGAAUAAAUUAUGUUUUCUUUCUUUUAUGGUUUCUGGUAUUCCUGGCAUCUUAGAAAUGCCUAUUUUAUUUAAAUAAGUGAAAGGAUACUCAAAAGAACAAAUGAAAGCACAAAUGGUCUUUUAAACAAUAUUAAGAGAAUCAAGCAAGGAACAUAUACCAGAGGAGUAAAUAGUAUCUAAUAGCUUUCUAGCAAAACUACAGAUUUACACUUUGAGAACUACAUGUUCAUGUUUAAUAUUUAUUAAAUCUUUCAUCCUGCUUAUUCAUUCUUAACAAAAUUGCCUUGAUUUCUACCUUGUGCAAGUAAAAACAGAAUAAAAUCCACUAGGCUACAAUAGUAAAGAAAAAAGCCUUUGUUUUGCUUUCCAAACAAAAAAAAAAAAAAAAGGAGGGGGAGAGAGAGAGUGAUUCUGUGAGGAGACUAAAAUUGCUAAGAACAUUAAAUAUCUACAACAUUUGUAUGGAUAUUAAAGUAAAGCUUUAUUGAUUAGAAUUUACCUACAUUAUUAAAUCUGAUUUAAAAAUUUGACUUUGAGUUAACUUCUGGUGUGGAGUUUUUAUGCCUUUCUCAAGAUUAUGCUCACAAAAAAAAAUAAUAAUUUCUGCUUGUGUAAAAAAAGUUAUUGGUGUAUUAGCUAAGUUUAACAAUAGUGCGUUAUGGAAGGCUGAUGUUCAAAUAACUAUAUGCCUUUAAAUCCAUCUGGUUUGAAAUGGUUGCAAGAUAGUUUGUUUUUUCUCAAAUUUGCAUUUGAAUUAUAUACGCCGAACCAUGAGAAUUAUAUUCAAUAAAUUUGGUUCAACUCUUAUGUUUAAGAAUCUUAAGAAAAUGUAUUUUCUUAAAGAUAUAUUCUAUUCUUUUUAAAAUUCAUGAUAAUUAAUUAAUGAAGGAAUUCUACAAGAUAUCAGUGAAAAAAUAAUCCAUGUCCAUGUACGAAUUAGCAUAAUGAUUAUUAAAAUGUGACUGAGAAAAAUAUUACAUCAAAUAAUGUCUGAAACAGCCAGAUGUUUGUGUUAAAACCUGACAGGAAUGAUAUUGUCAGAAGUGCUCUAGUCAAAAGCAGUGUAUUCUUGCUACUGCCAACCGCGGGUUUUAGCAAUAGUGCUUCUUUAAUAUUAUGAAUCAGCGAGAUAGACACAGAAUACAGAUAUUAAAUUUAUAUAUUAUUAUCACAAAGAUGAUCUAUACAGAGGCAGUAGAGUCCCUCACUCACAAAGAGCAUCUCUGAGUCAUAGGGAGGCACAGAGUUGAGAAGCUGUGCUUGGUGCCAUUUGGAACUAAACUGCACUCUCUGGAGAGAGGCAACCUGAAAUAUAGAUCUUCCUUCACUUAUCAUAGGGUUACAUCUUGAUAAACUCAAAGUACCUUAAUUCAAAAAAUCAUUCAGUGCACCUGCCCGACCAAAGAGGGUUCAGUCCAGCCUACCUCCAAUAUGCUCAGAACUCACAUGGGCAAAUCAUCCAACACAGACCCUGUUUGAUGACAGUGUGUUGAAUGGCUUGUGUCAUUUAUUGACUACUGCACUGAAAGAGGGAAACAAAACAGUUGUCUGGGUCCAGAAUCCUGGUAAGUAUAUUGAUUACUCACUGUUGCCAUCUCGGGCUGCCUGCCUGGGAGCAGUGACUGCCGCUGUCCAGCAUCACUAGCCAGGGAGAAGAUCACAGUUCAAAAUUCCAAGCAUGGUUUCUGUUGAAUGUCUUUUGCUUUCACCCCAUUGUAAAGUAGAAAAAUCCUUAAGUUGAACCAUUCUAAGUUGGGACCAUCUGUACUCUAACACAGUAAUAAAUUCUAAGUGGGAGUAAAUUAUUGGCAGUAAAGCAAACAAAAAAAUUAAGAUAAAGCAGAAGAAGGAAUGUUGCAUUAGAGAGGAGAGCACACAGUCCUUAGGUUGUGCUUUCUUUUUUUUUAUUUUAUUUCAUUUGUUUUUUUAUUUUAUUUUAUUUUUUUGUCUUUUUGCCAUUUCUUGGGCCGCUCCCACGGCAUAUGGAGGUUCCCAGGCUAGGGGUUGAAUCAGAGCUGUAGCUGCCAGCCUACGCCAGAGCCACAGCAACGCAGGAUCCGAGCCGCAUCUGCAACCUACACCACAGCUCACAGCAACGCCGGAACCUUGACCCACUGAGCAAGGGCAGGGAUCGAACCCGCAACCUCAUGGUUCCUAGUCGGAUUCGUUAACCACUGCGCCACGACGGGAACUCCAGGUUGUGCUUUCUGAGUGGGAUUCUCUCUACCCAGGGCCACAGCCCUCCCAGUGACCCUCAGCAGGCUCAGCCCAGAGCCUGGUCUGAAAUGCUCUGCACAAAAACCACGGAAACUGCCUUCCUUCAGCAUCUUUCCCUUGUGGGUCUUGAGUCACCGAGACUCACAGCUGUUUUGCUGAAUCAGCACGAAAGCCC